rnacentral:rRNA from 1 species
UACGUAGGGGGCAAGCGUUGUCCGGAUUCAUUGGGCGUAAAGAGCGUGUAGGCGGCCAGGUAGGUCGGUUGUGAAAACUGGAGGCUCAACCUUCAGAGGUCGACCGAAACCAUCUGGCUAGAGUCCGGGAGAGGAGAGUGGAAUUCCGUGGUGUAGCGGUGAAAUGCGCAGAUAUCAGGAAGAACACCCCGUGGCGAAAGCGGCUCUCUGGAACGGUACUGACGCUGAGACGCGAAAGCGUGGGGAGCGAACAGG